rnacentral:rRNA from 1 species
GUGCCAGCAGCCGCGGUAAUACGGAGGGUGCAAGCGUUAAUCGGAAUUACUGGGCGUAAAGCGCACGCAGGCGGUCUGUCAAGUCGGAUGUGAAAUCCCCGGGCUCAACCUGGGAACUGCAUCCGAAACUGGCAGGCUUGAGUCUCGUAGAGGGGGGUAGAAUUCCAGGUGUAGCGGUGAAAUGCGUAGAGAUCUGGAGGAAUCACCGGUGGCGAAGGCGGCCCCCUGGACGAAGACUGACGCUCAGGUGCGAAAGCGUGGGGAGCACAACAGGAUUAGAUACCCUGGUAGUCC